rnacentral:misc_RNA from 1 species
GAUGAAGAACGUAGCGAAAUGCGAUAAGUGAUGUGAAUUGCAGAAUUCAGUGAAUCAUCGAAUCUUUGAACGCACAUUGCGCCCGUCAGUAUUCUGGCGGGCAUGCCUGUUCGAGCGUCAUUACGCCCCUCAAGUCCCCUGUGGACUUGGUGUUGGGGAUCGGCGAGGCUGGUUUUCCAGCACAGCCGUCCCUUAAAUUAAUUGGCGGUCUCGCCGUGGCCCUCCUCUGCGCAGUAGUAAAACACUCGCAACAGGAGCCCGGCGCGGUCCACUGCCGUAAAACCCCCCAACUUUUUAUAGUUGACCUCGAAUCAGGUAGGACUACCCGCUGAACUUAAGCAUAUCAAUAAGCGGAGGA